GAGGGUGUAGCUCAGUGGUAGAGUGCAUGCUUGGCAUGCACGAGGUCCUGGGUUCAAUCCCCAGUCCUCCUCU
rnacentral:tRNA from 1 species